AUUUCAUCAUUACUUCUGUAACCUCGGAGCACUUUCCACAAUACAUAUCCUCAUCGCAACGUCUGCUGCAAUGGGAGGAUCGCCAUCAAGAGAACCGCCGAAACCAGAACCGAAACCGAAACCACUUCUCACAGAUCCAUGGCGUGAAGUUGAAUUUAGUGACGAUGCUUACAUGAAACUUCAACAAGAAAUAAAAAACCACCAACCACACCCUAAGACUCCCACAACAGAUAUUCUUAUUUCAGGCAGUAUGGGAUCCGGAAAGUCAAGCUUUCUAAAUUCUGUGAACUCAGGAGAGAAGAAUUCAACGGCAGAGUGCAAAACAUUGAAGCCGUGAGACCAGGUGCACAAACAAGCGUCACACAACAUGUAAGUGUUUAAAUUCCAACACCUCCUACACUUCUCAUCUAGUGUGCUUAAUUACUGUGUCCUGUCAUCUCACUGGCAGUAACAGCAGAGGAAAAAGCAGCAAGUGCACAUGAGGUUCAGGUGCUUUAAGCCGAGGGGACGCUAGUCUACAUGUUGCUAGAAAAAUGGAGAAAGCAAAGGGAGAUAUUUUCUUGUAUACAC